rnacentral:rRNA from 1 species
CCUGUUUAACAAAAACAUGUCUUUUUGAGUUAAUUUUAAAGUCUGACCUGCCCACUGAAGUUUUUAAAUGGCCGCAGUAUCCUAACUGUGCAAAGGUAGCAUAAUCAUUAGUYUUUUAAUUGAAGGCUGGUAUGAACGGUUGGACGAGGUAUAAGCUGUUUCAUAUAAAUUUAUAAUAGAAUUUUAUAUUUUAGUCAAAAAGCUAAAAUGUUAUUAAAAGACGAGAAGACCCUAUAAAUCUUUAUAUUUUUUUUUGUUUAAAUUUUUUGGAUUUAUUUUAUUUUUAUAAUAAAAAAUAUUUUGUUGGGGUGAUGUUAAAAUUUAAUGAACUUUUAAUUGAAAAAAAUCAUUAAUUUAUGAAUUGUUGAUCCAUUAGUAGUGAUUAUAAGAUUAAGUUACUUUAGGGAUAACAGCGUAAUUUUUUUGGAGAGUUCAUAUCGAUAAAAAAGUUUGCGACCUCGAUGUUGGAUUAAGAUAUAAUUUUAGGUGUAGCCGCUUAAAU